rnacentral:rRNA from 1 species
AAUGCGUAGAGAUCUGGAGGAAUACCGGUGGCGAAGGCGGCCCCCUGGACAAAGACUGACGCUCAGGUGCGAAAGCGUGGGGAGCAAACAGGAUUAGAUACCCUGGUAGUCCACGCCGUAAACGAUGUCGACUUGGAGGUUGUGCCCUUGAGGCGUGGCUUCCGGAGCUAACGCGUUAAGUCGACCGCCUGGGGAGUACGGCCGCAAGGUUAAAACUCAAAUGAAUUGACGGGGGCCCGCACAAGCGGUGGAGCAUGUGGUUUAAUUCGAUGCAACGCGAAGAACCUUACCUACUCUUGACAUCCAGAGAACUUAGCAGAGAUGCUUUGGUGCCUUCGGGAACUCUGAGACAGGUGCUGCAUGGCUGUCGUCAGCUCGUGUUGUGAAAUGUUGGGUUAAGUCCCGCAACGAGCGCAAC